rnacentral:rRNA from 1 species
AGGACGAACGCUGGCGGCGCGCUUAACACAUGCAAGUCGAACGUGAAGCUGGAGCUUGCUCCGGUGGAAAGUGGCGAACGGGUGAGUAACACGUGAGGAACUUACCCCGGACUCUGGGAUAACUCAGGGAAACUUGAGCUAAUACCGGAUACCCUCGCCGAGUCGCAUGGCUCGGCAAGGAAAGUUUUCGGUCUGGGAGAGCCUCGCGGCCUAUCAGCUUGUUGGUGAGGUAACGGCCCCCCAAGGCUACGACGGGUAGCUGGUUUGAGAGAACGAUCAGCCACACUGGAACUGAGACACGGUCCAGACUCCUACGGGAGGCAGCAGUGGGGAAUCUUGCGCAAUGGGCGAAAGCCUGACGCAGCAACGCCGCGUGCGGGAUGACGGCCCUUGGGUUGUAAACCGCUUUCAGCAGGGACGAAAUGACGGUACCUGCAGAAGAAGCCCCGGCUAACUACGUGCCAGCAGCCGC